GAAUGAGACUAGAGGUGAUGUGGAGUUGUUUAGAAUUAAUGAUAAUAACGGUUUAAGCAUUGGUCACCAUAUAUUAUCUUGUAAUGCAAGUGAUAAGAUUUACCUCUCCAUGAUCACUAAUUGCCAUACUCAGAUGGUGAUUGACAAAUGGAUACACAAAUAUCAAACAUGUAGACCCCCCUCUCCUUUCCCUAUCACCAGCUAUUAUCUCUUUCCUUUCUCUUACAUAUAUUCUUCUCUCUUUAUUUCCCAUUUACA
rnacentral:misc_RNA from 1 species